GCGAAAUGCGAUGGGCAUCUGAGAUACGGUUUCGUAAAGGUGAAGCUUCACAUUUACAAAACAGACACAGAUGCAAUUGAGUUCCUCGCCACUAAGGAAGGUGAAAAGCUCAUGGGCGAACCAGAACCCAUGAGCGAAACCGAGCCAAUGAGCGAAGACGACCGGCCCACCGAAGAAGAAUACGCCUCUUCAGGCUCAGAAAUGGGCUUAGGGAGGCUGUACUUCGAACGGGAGGAUAAACCUUCAUCACUGUAAAGAAGCCUGCCUUGCCCUCCUGGAGCGUCUGGCAGAAGAUCAGCCGGACGUAGUCCUCAUCCAGGAACCCUGGGUACGGAAUGGCGAAAUCUGCGGUCUGAGGACAUCAGGGUAUAAAGUAUACAAGACCAAUGGUGAAGUAACGCAGAUACUACGACGGUUAGCUGGGAAGUGAGCGGAAGC